rnacentral:rRNA from 1 species
GAUGAACGCUGGCGGCGUGCCUAAUACAUGCAAGUCGAGCGAACGGACGAGAAGCUUGCUUUUCUGAUGUUAGCGGCGGACGGGUGAGUAACACGUGGAUAACCUACCUAUAAGACUGGGAUAACUUCGGGAAACCGGAGCUAAUACCGGAUAAUAUUUUGAACCGCAUGGUUCAAAAGUGAAAGACGGUCUUGCUGUCACUUAUAGAUGGAUCCGCGCUGCAUUAGCUAGUUGGUAAGGUAACGGCUUACCAAGGCAACGAUGCAUAGCCGACCUGAGAGGGUGAUCGGCCACACUGGAACUGAGACACGGUCCAGACUCCUACGGGAGGCAGCAGUAGGGAAUCUUCCGCAAUGGGCGAAAGCCUGACGGAGCAACGCCGCGUGAGUGAUGAAGGUCUUCGGAUCGUAAAACUCUGUUAUUAGGGAAGAACAUAUGUGUAAGUAACUGUGCACAUCUUGACGGUACCUAAUCAGAAAGCCACGGCUAACUACGUGCCAGCAGCCGCGGUAAUACGUAGGUGGCAAGCGUUAUCCGGAAUUAUUGGGCGUAAAGCGCGCGUAGGCGGUUUUUUAAGUCUGAUGUGAAAGCCCACGGCUCAACCGUGGAGGGUCAUUGGAAACUGGAAAACUUGAGUGCAGAAGAGGAAAGUGGAAUUCCAUGUGUAGCGGUGAAAUGCGCAGAGAUGUGGAGGAACACCAGUGGCGAAGGCGACUUUCUGGUCUGUAACUGACGCUGAUGUGCGAAAGCGUGGGGAUCAAACAGGAUUAGAUACCCUGGUAGUCCACGCCGUAAACGAUGAGUGCUAAGUGUUAGGGGGUUUCCGCCCCUUAGUGCUGCAGCUAACGCAUUAAGCACUCCGCCUGGGGAGUACGACCGCAAGGUUGAAACUCAAAGGAAUUGACGGGGGCCCGCACAAGCGGUGGAGCAUGUGGUUUAAUUCGAAGCAACGCGAAGAACCUUACCAAAUCUUGACAUCCUUUGACAACUCUAGAGAUAGAGCCUUCCCCUUCGGGGGACAAAGUGACAGGUGGUGCAUGGUUGUCGUCAGCUCGUGUCGUGAGAUGUUGGGUUAAGUCCCGCAACGAGCGCAACCCUUAAGCUUAGUUGCCAUCAUUAAGUUGGGCACUCUAAGUUGACUGCCGGUGACAAACCGGAGGAAGGUGGGGAUGACGUCAAAUCAUCAUGCCCCUUAUGAUCUGGGCUACACACGUGCUACAAUGGACAAUACAAAGGGCAGCGAAACCGCGAGGUCAAGCAAAUCCCAUAAAGUUGUUCUCAGUUCGGAUUGUAGUCUGCAACUCGACUACAUGAAGCUGGAAUCGCUAGUAAUCGUAGAUCAGCAUGCUACGGUGAAUACGUUCCCGGGUCU